ACCACUCUCGGGUGAACUCGGAAGCGGGCACCUGAAACCGUAUGGUGGCCGCAUAACGUCAGGCGGAAGUGAUAAGCCGACGGGCUUGUACUUCCGGGCUAGCGCUGUGCUUGUGAGGGUGCUGAGUCCUGAGCCACGCUAUGUCGGGCAGAGACGGUGGUAAGAAGAAACCUCUGAAGCAACCGAAGAAACAGGCAAAGGACAUGGACGAGG